GGCCUUUUGGCUCAGUUGGCUAGAGCGUUGGCUAUACUUAAGCUUUCCCCUUGAUGGCGCGGGUUCAAAUCCCACCAAGGCCA
rnacentral:tRNA from 1 species